CUUGAGGCCUGCUCCAUUCCAUUGCCAAAGGCCAAUGUGUUAAUCAAUCAAUGUCUAAGUAAUGGAACCGCCAUAAAACCCCCAAAGGAGGUUCUAGACACUGAAUAACAGCUGAGGGAUCAGUGCCCAUCAAGAUGGCUCUCCUGGAACACACCAUCAUGUGGGAAGAAUGACACUCUCUUCUUAGAUAUCUGCAAUGCUUGUUUGGAUCUGGUGAACCUGAGUUUCAAGUCCAGCUUUCAGCUCCUUUUGGGGAGAACUUUGCACAAGUCAGCUUCUCUGAACAGACUAAAGGAGUUGAUGAAAGUGAAGUGGCCACCAUGUUCCCGCACAGUAAGCACGUAGUCACCGUGCAGUCAGCAGUGCCAGAGAAGAAUACCGUUGUCCGUGAGCUUAUUCCAAAGUCAACAGCACUGCCUUUUCACUCAGGUGGCAGCUGAAAGACUCCUCGCCAUCCUGAACACAUGCACGCGGAAUUUUAAAGACACAGUCCCUUCUCUUUAUUCUCAAAAGAUGCCAUCUUGAGGGAGUUCACCUUUUGGGAUAUCACCAGUCCUGAUACAGCAUUUAGUUAUUGACACCAGCAAUUUGAUUUCUGCAAAUAAAUUUCAGAACCCUCUUUUAAUGACUAUGUGCCUGUGUAAAUAUCCUCCUGGGACACAGGGCUGUGUCUGGAUCUCCACGCUCAGAGGCUGAGCAGGUUUGCUGCUGGAAAAUUACCCACUGAGGAGCCAGGGCUCAGCGCUCCCCCCACAGUUAAUGGAGAGAGGCCCUCAUCUGGCACCAAGAGCUCAGCGUUUGGACCAGUGAAAUGUGGGAGAGAUGAAGCAAUAUCUUCAGAGAGAUUCCAGCUGUGUCCUCCAUUCACUUAUUUACCCAACAAGCACAUCAGUGACGAAUGUAUAUUGAGUCUUCUGCUCAGUGCUAGGGACACGAGGGAUGGUGGUAGCAGAAGCAGUGGUGGUAGCAGUAAAAAUAGCUGCUACUUUUUUUUUUUUAAUUGAGCACCUACGAGUAUUAGACACUUUGCCAGGGACUUCAUGGCUCUCGGCUCAGUAUCUGAAAACAAUUUUAUUGUUGUUGCCACCGCUCAUUUCUGCUGGGAAUGUUUCUCACCUGGGCAUAUUGUUUUUCUCAACGCGGGAGAGGGGAGAAAUGAAGAAUCCAAGAUGGACCUCUUCAUUGGAUGAUGGGAUGAACAGAGAAGCCACAGGUGAGGACAUCGAGGCUGUGGGAAACCCAGCCCCUUAUUCAAAGUCACACCGUUGGAAGUAGGGGUCCGGGAUUGAACCAAGGUCUGUCGGAAUCUAAAGCCUGUGCUCUUAAUAAUGAAGAAAGCUUCUCUCUGCGUGAACAAUUUUAUUGAUUUUUCUACAAGAUAUGCUCGCUCCUUCCUCUAAGUCUCUCCAUAGCAUUCAGCACAUGUGGCAGGAAAAUAUUGAUGAGAAAUUAGCCACUGGUUCCCUGCU